CCAAGUUCUGCAUGUACAACUGGCGAUUGGACAGCUUUUCUGAAGAGCAUCUGUUCACUCCCACAUGUGAACAAGAUAUUUGAAGUUGGCAUUUCUGGAAGUCUUCGAGAGCAAAUGAAAUAUUUGAAUUUGGACAUUGUUCAAAAGGCUGGAUCAUGCAUUUUGACAGACUUGGCUUAUGU